UCUGCAUGGUGCUGAUGCUGAGGGCCAGGCUGGGUACAUGAUCUGCUGAUUCAGUUGCCAGAGAAGAACUCCCAGCUAUUUUUUACUACUGACCAGCACAAGCUCAAUGGCUUGGGCACCCAGACCACUCAGGACCUGGGGGAGGCCCGAUCACCUGUUGCCAUGCAGAAGCAGACCCAGGAGAGGUGCUGGGCCCAGAGUGAGACUCUCAGCCAGGAUACUACAGCAGCUGUGGUGGGUCACGUGUUCUUCAGAGGUGAGAGGUCAUCCCGACGUCAGCCUCCACCGUGCCCCAGUCUCACUCCCUGCAGCAAACGGAGGCUCCUGUGCUGAGUGACGGGUCCAGCCAUACUUACAAGAGGAGCAGGCAUGGGUCUCAGUCACUCAGCGCUGUCUUCAACCUUGUCAUCCAAGAGAAGCGAUGCACAUCUCAGCAGAGAAGGCUGACAAUGGUGUCCCCAACUCACAGAUGAGAGAAUUAUAUUUUAUUGUCUUGCUGCUUUGAGACAGGGCCCUGAGAUGCUGCAACCUAAGCUGCUGCCUCUGCCUUCUAAGAGAUGGAUUAUAGGUGCGAGUCACCACGCCCAGAAAGAUUUUUUCUUUUUAAAAUAAUAGACGUGUGUGUGUGUGUGUGUGUGUGUGUGUGUGUGUGUGUGUACACAUGUACCUGUCAUGGCACAUGAGGAAGUCAGAGGACAACUUUUGAAGUCAGCUCUCACCACCCACCUUGUCAUGCUGGGUCUCUUGUUUCUGCCCCUGCAUGCAGUACUCCAGGCUUUCUGGCCCAGAGCUUCCAGCAGAUCCUCCUGUCUCCACCCCCAUCUUGUCCAGGAAGUGCCAGAAUUAAAGAAGCACCAGGCAUUUUGAGGUUUCAGGGAUCGAACUCGGACUUUCAAGCUUGUGCAGCAAGUACUUUUUCCUACUGAGCCAUUUUUCCGGCACUAGGAUGCAGAAUCUUAGACACCGAGAAAGGGAGUUUACUUGCUCUAUCAAGCGUCACUUGAGUAUGCACCUGUGGGUAAUUAUGGGACUCAUGUUUAAGAAAGCUCACACCGGCAACUACAUCCACAGUGAAACUCUUA